AAUAGAACUAGGAGGCCGGGGCAAGGGCCCUCCAUCUUAUAUGUAAUUUCCAAAAACGGUACACUAUGUGCUAAAUGCUAUCAUUGCUGCUAGAGACUUUAUCAUUGGAAGCAACGGUCACUCCAGCUUCGCUGAGAUUUUGUCCGCAAGUCCCUCGAUUACUUCAGCUUCAGUUUUAUGCAAACUGUAAGCACCAAAAGGCAUGUCCGG
rnacentral:lncRNA from 1 species